GUGUGUGUGUGUGAGAUUGCAUUAUAAAACUGUGUGAAUCAGAAGAAAGGGUAAUACCUCUGUUUUAUAAGCUUGUUCUUCAGAGGUGGUGGAGCUUGACCUACCUAUACACUGUAGAGUGACAGAGACCAGGCUUCUCUGACUCGUGGAUCCUCGUGUAUGGAACGAUGACCUGCACACGAACAUACGUAUGGGUGCACUCAACCGCCCUGUGUGCCCCGCUUUGCCUGUCCCCGCCCUCCUCCAUCAUACAAAAUCGGACAGCGAGCAGCAGGGGGCGCCACGGGAGUCACCAUCCUCGGCACAAGCCAAUUUAUUUCCCAAGCUCACUCGGGCUUCGUUCGAGAGCCCAUCAGAGAACUCCAAUAGAGCCACUUAAGCCACAGUUCCCUAACAUGAAAGCUGGCAGCCAAAAUAGAGAGAUAGGAAGAAAGGCGCGUAGCCAGGGGAGAGGCGUUUGAUCGGCUUGUUCUGGGGCUUCACUCAGAAGGGUUCGCUUCCCCCAAGGAGAGGCUAUACUGAGGCCUCUUUGUCCCUGAGAAAUCUAAUGUGGAAAAAAAUUGUAUGAAUUUCUAUUUCUGUCUGUGCUUCUUGUGUGUUUGUAUAUAAUGAGGCCACAAGGUCUACGGUAAGGGGGGAAAUGAGCGAUGAAAAGAGGAAAAGGUACAAAGGAACUCUGCAAAAGAGGGGGCCUUGCUUAAUUCGCCAUUAAACUGCAAUUGUCUCUCUGCGCGAUCGAUGAAGUGGCCGCGCCGAGAAAUAAAACAAAUGAUCGCACGGAGAAUUAGAGGGAUGAGGGGAGAGCAGGAAACAGAGACUCGGGGUGGAAACAAGGAGCCGGCGGUCUUUCUCACUCUCACGUCUGUUGUCUGAGUCAUUCGCUGCAUUGACUGGGAGAUGUAGGAUGCAGGGGAAGACACAGCGGGACACUACUGGACACACAGAGGUGAGGUAAGUGCUGAUGAAGGGACAUUCCAGGCUGCGAUCAUCUCUAAAGGAAGAGUCCGGUCCUCCCAAAGAGGUUAAUUAAAGAAGUCACGGGGGCCGAGCGGGGAAGUGUCUCCAUCACUGCUGUGAACUCCCGUGACCCUUCCAUCCUCUCCGACAGACAUAGCCAUCCAUCAACAGCUGAUUCCUGGCCUGUCGGGCUCCCGCUGGUGCCGCUGAGAUCCCCGAGCGACUCAACAGCAGUCUAUGUAGCAAGCGAGCAAUGAGGGGAAGAAAAAUAAAUAAAUAAAUAAACU